rnacentral:rRNA from 1 species
AUGGUCGAUGGCCAUCAUACGAUCUGGCCUGGCGUAGUGGUGAAGUCCUCCCCACUUGUGCCAAGAGGUCCUGGGUUCGAACCAGCCUCUCUGCAUUGCACUUUGCAGGGCCUUGUUCACGCUUAUGCAGUUGCUAGAGAUAUGCGUGGAGCGCUGUCAUGUGUUGAAGAAAUGAAAGCUGAGGGCAUUGGGCUGACAAUUGUUACUUACAGUAUCCUUAUUUCAGGAUUCGGCAAAAUCAAUGAUGCUCAAUCUGCAGACAACUUGUUCAAAGAGGCUAAGACCAACCUGGCGGAUCUCAAUGGGAUCAUAUAUAGCAACAUCAUACAUGCCCACUGGUUAGUGUUACCAGAUUCAUCAGGCCCUUCAAAAUUCAAAUGGAGAUAA